GAUUUGAAGAGUUUGAUCAUGGCUCAGGAUGAACGCUGGCGGCACGUCUGACACAUGCAAGUCGAACGGCAAGCCACCUUCGGGUGGCCUAGAGUGGCGAACGGCUGAGUAACACGUAGGAACCUACCCCUUAGUUCGGGACAACAGGCCGAAAGGCCUGCUAAUACCGGAUAAUAUCGAAAGAUUAAAAGGUUUACUGCUGAGGGAGGGGCCUGCGGCGUAUUAGCUAGUUGGUGAGGUAACUGCUCACCAAGGCGAUGAUGCGUAGCUGGUCUGAGAGGAUGAUCAGCCAGACUGGGACUGAGACACGGCCCAGACUCCUACGGGAGGCAGCAGUUCAGAAUCUUGCACAAUGGGCGAAAGCCUGAUGCAGCGAUGCCGCGUGGGUGAAGAAGGCCUUCGGGUCGUAAAGCCCUGUCAGAGGGAAAGAUAAUGACGGUACCCUCUAAGGAAGCCACGGCUAAUUACGUGCCAGCAGCCGCGGUAAUACGUAAGUGGCGAGCGUUAUCCGGAAUCACUGGGCGUAAAGCGUGCGUAGGCGGUUUGGCAAGUUGGAUUUGAAAGCCCGGGGCUCAACUCCGGACCCGGAUCCAAAACUGCCAGACUAGAGCGGAUCAGAGGACAGUGGAAUUCCCGGUGUAGCGGUAAUAUGCGUAGAUAUCGGGAGGAACACCAGUGGCGAAGGCGACUGUCUGGGGUCUUGCUGACGCUGAGGCACGAAAGCCAGGGGAGCGAACGGGAUUAGAUACCCCGGUAGUCCUGGCCAUAAACGAUGAACACUAGGUGUCGGGGGCUUCGACCCCUUCGGCGCCGCCGCUAACGCAUUAAGUGUUCCGCCUGGGGAGUACGGCCGCAAGGUUAAAACUCAAAGGAAUUGACGGGGGCCCGCACAAGCAGUGGAGCAUGUGGUUUAAUUCGAUGCUACGCGAAAAACCUUACCAGGGUUUGACAUCCCAGUGUAAGCCCCUAGAAAUAGGGGCCCCCUUCGGGCACUGGUGACAGGUGGUGCAUGGUUGUCGUCAGCUCGUGCCGUGAGGUGUUGGAUUAAGUUCCGCAACGAGCGCAACCCUCGUUGCUAGUUGCCAGCAUUAAGUUGGGCACUCUAGCGAGACUGCCAGCGUCAAGCUGGAGGAAGGUGGGGAUGACGUCAAAUCAUCAUGCCCCUUACAUCCUGGGCUACACACGUGCUACAAUGGGCAGUACAACGGGUUGCCACACCGCGAGGUGGAGCGAAUCCUUCAAAGCUGCUCUCAGUUCGGAUUGCAGGCUGCAACUCGCCUGCAUGAAGCUGGAAUUGCUAGUAACCGUGGAUCAGCAUGCCGCGGUGAAUACGUACUCGGGCCUUGUACACACCGCCCGUCACACCAUGAAAGCCGGAAACACCCGAAGUCCGCAGGCUAACCCGCAAGGGAGGCAGCGGCCGAAGGUGGAGCUGGUGAUUAGGGUGAAGUCGUAACAAGGUAACCAAUC
rnacentral:rRNA from 1 species